AGGAAGGUGGGGAUGACGUCAAAUCAUCAUGCCCCUUAUGACCUGGGCUACACACGUGCUACAAUGGCUGGUACAACGAGUCGCAAGUCGGUGACGGCAAGCUAAUCUCUUAAAGCCAGUCUCAGUUCGGAUUGUAGGCUGCAACUCGCCUACAUGAAGUCGGAAUCGCUAGUAAUCGCGGAUCAGCACGCCGCGGUGAAUACGUUCCCGGGCCUUGUACACACCGCCCGUCACACCACGAGAGUUUGUAACACCCGAAGUCGGUGAGGUAACCUUUUAGGAGCCAGCCGCCUAAGGUGGGAUAGAUGAUUGGGGUGAAGUCGUAACAAGGUAGCCGUAUCGGAAGGUGCGGCUGGAUCACCUCCUUUCUAAGGAA
rnacentral:rRNA from 1 species